AAUGGGCGCAAGCCUGAUCCAGCCAUGCCGCGUGAGUGAAGAAGGCCUUCGGGUUGUAAAGCUCUUUCGGUGGGGAAGAAAUUGCUUCGGCUAAUAUCCGGAGUAGAUGACGGUACCCGCAUAAGAAGCACCGGCUAACUACGUGCCAGCAGCCGCGGUAAUACGUAGGGUGCGAGCGUUAAUCGGAAUUACUGGGCGUAAAGCGUGCGCAGGCGGUUGUAUAAGUCAGAUGUGAAAUCCCCGGGCUCAACCUGGGAACUGCAUUUGAGACUGUACGGCUAGAGUGUGGCAGAGGGGGGUAGAAUUCCACGUGUAGCAGUGAAAUGCGUAGAGAUGUGGGGGAAUACCGAUGGCGAAGGCAGCCCCCUGGGCCAAUACUGACGCUCAUGCACGAAAGCGUGGGGAGCAAA
rnacentral:rRNA from 1 species